UAGGGCCUACGGGACGCAGCAGUGGGGAAUAUUGCGCAAUGGAGGGAACUCUGAUGCAGCGACGCCGCGUGAGUGAAGAAGUAAUUCGUUAUGUAAAGCUCUAUCAGCAGGGAAGAAAGUGACGGUACCUGAAAAAGAAGCUCCGGCUAAAUACGUGCCAGCAGCCGCGGUAAUACGUAUGGAGCAAGCGUUAUCCGGAUUUACUGGGUGUAAAGGGAGAGUAGUAGGCAGAGCAAGUCCGAAGUGAAAACC
rnacentral:rRNA from 1 species